UGGGGCCUCAGGGACAGCAGGGCCAGCCUGGGCCACCUGGACCACCUGGACCACCAGGACCAAGGGUAAAUUCUGUAACAGCCCUAGCCUACCUAACCAGUGCUUUAUUGAAAGGGAAAAUAACAGGAUCCUCUUCAAAUGUACUCCCUGUUCCACUGUACAAAGAAUUUACCACCUGCACUUUUGUAUAUUCUUGUUAAUCUUUUUAUAUUCUGAAAUACCUAUUUUUUUAGAAACAAGUGGAUCUCAAUGCUGCUGUUCAAGCUUUGUUUG
rnacentral:lncRNA from 1 species